UUCACUUAUUUGCUUAAUGCAAUGCUUCUCUCUUUGCUUUCAUUCUAUCACUUCUAACUUUCUACUUACCUUUCAUCUUAGCAUCACUGCCUGUAGCAGUACUCUGAUAACUAUGAUGCCAUCAGUGGGCUUCAUUUAACAGGAUGCAUUGCUGAUUGCUGCAACUUCACAGAGGUGAAAUUAACCUCCUGAGUUUGAGACCAACCAACUAAUGACAACUUGCCCACAGAACUAAGAGAAAACCCUGAAGUCAAUUUUACCCUCAGAUAAACAAAGAAAAUGUCAUUGGCAUAGAAAUCUAGAAGAGGAAGCUACAUGUCAUAAAAAUGCUGCAAGAUGAGAGAAGUCUUUGUGAAGUUGCUACUGUAUCCUAUUAUAACAGCAAGAACAGAAAAUGGAGCCCAGAGAUAAGAGAAAAAUAUAAGCAGCAACUGUGCAAGAGAACAUCUGAAGAAAAGAUGUGUUUUAUUGGGUCAGACCAACCAUUUAUUCAUAGAACCAUUUUCAACAUUAACUACAGAUAAUACAAUGCCAGGAGCCAGGCCCUUUCUCUGUCUCAUAGCCAUCACACUAGUGCAUUGCUAGUAUCAACAGCUGUUCCAGAAAUAUUAGAGGAUACAAUCCUGAGAAACGAUGAAGAAAAGGUAGUAUUUUCUUUUAUGUAUACUCUCAGGCCCUUACGUUGCUGUUAACAAAGCAAAGAGGUCUCCCAUUUGUGGGAUGUGUCCUGUCAAAUUUGAACAAAAUAACUGUGAUAUAAUGCAUGGCAUAGAUACAUUGUCAAGUACCUGAAAAGCAACAGUUAAUUUCUACUGGGCUGGUGUGAAUUCAUAGCUCUAAUUUCUUCUCAAGAUUAGAUUCAUACUGGUCCUAUAGCACAUAUUGGUAGAUCAGUGUGUUCAGAUAUAUAUUUGUAUCAAUUUAUGGCUUCCUCAUGAAUAACAGAAAUGACAUACUUCUUUCUGAAAUGGGACUGUUUCAUUGUCAUAUGUUCUUCUAAUCUUCAGAUACCUGCAUAAGUUGCACUGACAUUUAAUGUCCCUUACAUUUUAUCAGUAGAAUUCAUACCCCUGAUGUUUAUCAGAAAGAGAUUCUGAAGAUUUUAGUGUAUAUUUUUGUAAAUGGAAGGAUGAUUUUUGAAGAAAAUAAUAGUGAUUUUGGAUGGCUCCAUCUGAUAUGUAACAAGACUUUCUUCAGAUGGCAGAUGGAAAAACAAUUUAGAGGCUUUUACUUCAUGGGAUAAAUCAAAAUUUUAAAUGUAGAAGACAGUGUGAAGCUACUGGCCAAAGAAAUGUAUGCUUCCCAAACGUGAAAUACAGUGGAAAGAGAAAAUCAAGACCAUGAAAUUAAAAAAAAUGUUUACUCAUUAGUUGAAUACACCAUUUAUUAUAAUUUUCCUACUGUAUAGUUACUAGUUGUUUUUAAAAUUAAUAUUUUUGUACAUUGUUAUCUACAAAUCAUUCUAAACAAGUAUGUUGGAGGAGCCUUCAAUUCCUGCUGAGCACACAACCAUAUCUGACACUGCCCAGAGAUAAAUGAAUUGUUGCUUUGCAUAUUUUUGAAGAUGGCUCCACUUUUCAUGCUUAAUCUAAGAUCAUUAUUUCAAACCACAGCAUGUUCUCAUAAAGAUUGAGUAUUUCUGCCACCCCUCAAACAGGAAAGAAUAUUUACAGUCUUAUGCUGAAAUGUAUUUAUACUGCAAAAUAAAGUUGGCGGGUAAUAUCUAAAUAUGUGUGCCAAUAUUAUGAUGACAUAAAAAACUUAGAUCAUGUUGCAAGAUUAAAUGCUGAUUUUGUGGCAAAUUAUUACUGGCAUAUAUAAAGGCUAAAA
rnacentral:lncRNA from 7 species